rnacentral:rRNA from 1 species
UACAGAGGUCUCAAGCGUUGUUCGGAUUCAUUGGGCGUAAAGGGUGCGUAGGUGGCGUGGUAAGUCGGGUGUGAAAUUUCGGAGCUUAACUCCGAAACUGCAUUCGAUACUGCCGUGCUUGAGGACUGGAGAGGAGACUGGAAUUUACGGUGUAGCAGUGAAAUGCGUAGAGAUCGUAAGGAAGACCAGUGGCGAAGGCGGGUCUCUGGACAGUUCCUGACACUGAGGCACGAAGGCCAGGGGAGCAAACAGG